rfam:Triticum urartu cultivar G1812 contig603047, whole genome shotgun sequence.
UAAGUACUCCCUCCGUCCGGAAAUACUAGUCCUCGAAAUGGAUAAAAUAGAUGUAUCUAUAACUAAAAUAAGUCUUGAUACAACCAUUUCGAGGACAAGUAUUUCCGGACGGAGGGAGUAUAUG